rnacentral:rRNA from 1 species
UACGAGUGCCCCGAGCGUUAUCCGGAAUCAUUGGGCGUAAAGGGUGUGUAGGUGGUCGUGUUAGUCUUUCGUCAAAACCUGGGGCUCAACCUCAGAUCUGCGAGAGAAACGGCACGACUGGAGGGUGCGAGGGGUCUGUGGAACUCAUGGAGUAGGGGUGAAAUCCGUUGAUAUCAUGGGGAACACCAAAAGCGAAGGCAGCAGACUGGCGCAUUCUGACACUGAAACACGAAAGCGUGGGUAGCGAAUGGG